GGACUGCAUCCCAGCAUCCAGGGAUCUCGGGUCUUGCCCCACGCAGGGAGCUGGGCAGGGGGUGGCAGUGAGGCCAGUGGGGAUGGGGAGUGGGUGCUAGAAGAGUCUGGCGGGGGCGAGGACAGCCUGGGGUCCCCGACUGGAAGGUGGGCUUCAAUCAGGGGCCGCAGCAGCAGAAGCCAGGGUCAGCAGUCCGAAGAAACCGCCCUCCUCCAUCUGGGCCAAGCUGCCCGGGUCAGCUGCACCCCGCCCCCCCCCGGAGGAUUAAACUAAGUUAUGGAUCAACACCAGCCUCGCAAAUGCUCAUUUUGAAGGGGGGUGGGUGGGUGGAAUACAGAUUGGUCUCCAGCUCAUCAGACGCGGUGUAAUAACACUUGACACCUGUUAAACACCUGCCGUUUAUCAACGCUCACACGUCCUCCCUGAGAGCAGAGAUUCCUACAGCCAUUCUACAAUUAAAGAAACGGGAGCAGAGAGGUCGAGUAACUUGCCCUGGUUCACACAGCUGGGAACCAAUCCCAGUCUGGCCUUCCUGAGCCUCUCCAUUCUCCGUGGCGCCGUCAGCCUGUUCAGCCGGAGACGCACGGCAAGGUCUUCGGUGCCGUGGCUCAGGGCGCUCAACCAUAUCAACUAUCCAAAAGGACGAAGCCGGUCCCGACUUCGGCCCAAGGUCGCCGGCGAAGAGCAGGCCUCAGGGGUGGAGGCUGGCCUGACACUCACCUGCUGCCCCGUGGGCGCUGGGAGAGCAGGCCCUUGUGUGAUGCCGUAGAACCUCGCCUGCAGCAGCUGUGCGCCGUCUCGGGCGGCGGGCUCCUCUUCCUCGUCGGCGGCGUACAGCUGCGGCGGCUGCGACUCGUCUGGUCCGCGGAUGCGGCGGUGGUCCCCGGGCAUGGCGGCACCUGGCGAGCACACCGCUUCCGCCCGUCGUUCUACCGCGCGCUCCGGCUCUUCCGCCCGCUUGAAGACGCGCGCUCGCGCGGGGGCUGUCGGGAGAGCCGCAGGCAGUCGCGGCUGCACUGCCUCCUGGCGCCGUGGAGGGAGAACGGCUGCGGCGCCAAGGCUUUGAAGCCGCAGCAAGGUUGCCCAGGGCUGGACGGGCCGGUUGACUGUCUCCCAGGCCAGGUCCUACCCGAGCAAUUAGUCUUCUCACUUAUGCAGGCUGUAGUUAUCUUAGUUUUGCACUAAUCUGUGGGACUAUUUUAUAUGUCCCCACCGGGGAGUUGGCCUUGCUCACUCCCAUGCCCCUGGCUGGCACGAAGGCCUAUAUGAUGGAUGGAAUCUCUCUCCAGCACUGGCUUUAUGUAAGUCUCUUUGUAUCAUUAACACGGACGUCAACACCCCCUUUCUGCCUCCCCUUCCCACCCUGAGAACCGCCCUUCACCCCAGCAUGCACCUGCUUUUCCUUCUCCCUCCACUGUCAGCAGCACCGUGACCUGGGCUCUGGGGCCAGCCGCUGUAUCCAGAGGACAGGACAUCCGUUGGGGCUGGCACAGGCAAGCAGUACCUUCACCUUCCAAACUCUGCCAUUUUAGACUUGGGGAAACUGGACUCAGAGACCGGCCAGUGUCUUUGGGUCAAGUGGGAGUGAUGGGCAGACACUAGAGUAGGAGGCAAUAGCUGCACCUUAAACAUCUUCUGUACCAGAGACUGCCCUCCAGCCUCAUACCCUGACCCCACAUGAAGAGCUUCAGAGGGAGGGGAGGGACAUGAGCCAGAGCCGCCGCCUGCAGGGCUGGCAUCCGAUGUGAGCACCAGUUUAAGACCAGCUGCUCCAAUCCAGCUCUCUGCUAUGGCCUGGGAAAGCAGUCGAAGAUGGCCCAAGUGCUUGGGCCCCUGCACACGCGUGGGAGACCUGGAGGAAGCUCCUGGCUUCGGAUCAGCACAGCUCCGGCCACUGCAGCCCUUUGGGUAGUGAACCAGUGGAUGGAAGACCUCUCUCUCUCUGCUUUUCUGUAACUCUGCCCUUCAAAUCAAUCUUUAAAAGAAAAAAACAAUGGAGGUUCUCCAGGCGCACCUUUGCUUUGUAACCCCUCGGACCACUGAAUUAUUAGAGCCUCUCUCUCCAUCUCACCCCCGUCUCCACAAACACUGAGUUCAAGGGUUUAGGGCUGGACUGAGCUGGAGUCAGCAUGUUUUACACACCCUCGGGUAGCCAAGAGCUGUCAGCAGGGGUGCAUGCUGGGAG
ensembl:lncRNA